AUUGAACGCUGGCGGCAUGCCUUACACAUGCAAGUCGAACGGCAGCACGGGAGCAAUCCUGGUGGCGAGUGGCGAACGGGUGAGUAAUAUAUCGGAACGUGCCCAGUCGUGGGGGAUAACUGCUCGAAAGAGCAGCUAAUACCGCAUACGACCUGAGGGUGAAAGGGGGGGAUCGCAAGACCUCUCGCUAUUGGAGCGGCCGAUAUCAGAUUAGCUUGUUGGUGGGGUAAAGGCCUACCAAGGCAACGAUCUGUAGUUGGUCUGAGAGGACGACCAGCCACAGUGGGAAUGAGACACGGCCCAGACUCCUACGGGAGGCAGCAGUGGGGAAUAUUGGACAAUGGGCGGAAGCCUGAUCCAGCAAUGCCGCGUGGGUGAAGAAGGCCUUUUGGUUGUAAAGCACUUUAAGCGAGGAGGAGGCUACCUGGAUUAAUACUCUAGGAUAGUGGACGUUACUCGCAGAAUAAGCACCGGCUAACUCUGUGCCAGCCGCCGCAGUAACAC
rnacentral:rRNA from 1 species